rnacentral:rRNA from 1 species
GACGAACGCUGGCGGCGUGCUUAACACAUGCAAGUCGUACGGUAAGGCCCUUUCUGGGGUACACGAGUGGCGCACGGGUGAGUAACACGUCAGUAACCUGCCCACAACUUUGGGAUAACGCUAGGAAACUGGUGCUAAUUCUGGCUAUGUUCUCCUGCUGCAUGGUGGGGGUUGUACAGAUCCGGCGGUUGUGGAUGGACUCGCGGCCUAUCAGCUUGUUGGUGGGGUAGUGGCUUACCAAGGCGGCGACGGGUAGCCGGCCUGAGAGGGUGACCGGCCACAUUGGGACUGAGAGAAGGCCCAGACGCCUACGGGAGGAAGCAGUGGGGAAUAUUGCACAAGGGGCGCAAGCCUGAUGCAGCAGCGCCGCGGGCGGGAUGACGGCCUUCGGGUUGUAAACCGCUUUCAGCAGGGACGAAGCUUUUUGUGACGGUACCUGCAGAAGAAGCACCGGCUAACUACGUG